rnacentral:tmRNA from 1 species
GGGGGCGUACUUGGUUUCGACGGGGGUACGUUGCAUCGAGGAAGCGAGUCGAGGGAACCUAUGGACCCGCGUUAAAAAACUAUUGGAACAAUUUAAACGCAAACGAUAAUUUAGCACUAGCAGCUUAGUUCUGCUACGUCUUACCUUUGAUUACCGCGACUUAGGAUAGGGCGCCGACAGCGGUGAACCGAGUCUGGGAAAGCUUUGACCUGGAAACGGAAAAUAUGA